CCCUCCUUCCUCUUUCUUUCUUUCCCUUUUACUUUCUCCUUCCUUCCUCUUCUUCCUUUCCCUUUUACUUUCUCCUUGCUUCUUUCAUUUCUCUCUCUCUCUCUCUCUCUCUCUCUCUCUCUCUCCUCCCCCCCCCACCCCGCCUCUUGCAUUAUUCAAACUGUCACUGGUGACUCGGAGGAUAUUAGCAUGCAUCAGACAUGCUGUUUGUCUGUUUGCUAACAUUCUUCAUUCAAGACUUGUUAACUGCCAGACAAGCUUAACGCACGCUUCCCUCGCCUUUCCCUUUCUCCUCUGGCGCUCCCUCUCUCCCUCUCCCUCUCCCUCUCUCUCUCUCAUGCCAGCCCGCUCUGCCUCGCCUAUUGUUAUUGCCGGGAGCUGGCAGCCGUGGGGGGGGGGGUGGAGGAGGAGGAGGAGUGGGCAGCGGUGGGCAAGAGGUGGCAGGGGGCUGCAGAGGCUUGGCACAGUCGUGCUGGGUCAGCGCUGCUCUCCAGGCCUGCAGCCGCUUUGCAAAAACACACACACGCCGGCGCGAUCGCGGCCGCUCUUCUCGCCUCUGCUUUUCGCAGGAGACCCGCAGAGCUGAAAGACGGGCGGGCGGCCCCCUUCUCGGCUCCUCACCCGCGGCUGAAAGCUUCUUCCUCCUAGGAUAUCAAUUUUUUUCUACUUUUUGAUGAUAAUCCCCAGUAACACCACUACGUUAUACCCUAUGAAAGGAUCUCUUUUGGAGUCAGUUGAGAUUGCGGAUUCCAAGAUGCCGUGUACAAGGCAUAAAAAUGCCGUGUAUUAGGAAGAAGGUCGACCAAGAAUCUCCUCCGUUUCUCCACGAGAGCAUUGCCAAGAUACAUCAAAACAAGGGAUGCUUCACCAAACUCAGGUUCUUAAAAUAUGGGUCAUUAGAGCAAAUACUGGUUGGAUCAGAGAACAGAAAGCAUUGCUAGAUAGAGUUGGAAUAACUUUGCUUUACAGUGCCUGCCUCCCAGCAAUUUUGCCUCGUUACAGCAAAUAGCCUGCUUUACUUUCGUUUUCGUUUUCAGCAAGGCCCAGGCAAAACAGCUGAGAGCAAAACAGCUGAGAGUCAGGAGGCCAAUCCAAUCAACUUGUGCUAAUUAGGCUGUGCUGAAGCUGAAACGAGCUGUUUCUUCUUGCUGCUUGCUGGAAGGAGGUAAACUGCUGGGAGGCAGAGGCCAAAGGGUGGGGGCUAGUGGGUGGGCGGGGCUACAUUCGGUGUAUAAGACGCGCCUAAAUUUUCACCCCCUUCUGGGGGGGGGAAGGUGCGUCUUAUACUCCGAAAAAUACGGUAUAUCCCACCUUUAUUAUUUUUACAAAUAACUCACAUUGCUGUGGCUUCUACCAGAUGCUUGUGCUAGUAUCUCCUUUUUAAGAUUGGAAUCUGUCUUCUGUGGGCCCAAGAAUUGUUCAGAUCCAGCGGUGGGAUUCAGCCAGUUCGCACCACUUCGGGAGAACUGGUUGUUAACUUUCUGAGCAGUUUGGCAAAGUGAUUGUUGGAAGAAAUCAUUAGGGCAGAGAACCGGUUGUUAAAUUACUUGAAUCCCACCACUAUUCAGAUCCCUUUCUCCUGCUGAUUAGAAUAUUUCAAGAUGAAAGGUUCUCUAACAGCGAAUAAAUUAAAAGUUCAAGGUUGAAAUGCAAAGAGUCAGCCUCCAGACAGUUCUGGGGUGACAGGGCCCAGCACCUGCGAACAAUUCUUCGCUACUGUGGAAAGUUUGUGUUUUUGUCUUACAGAUUUGCCCAAGGAGGUAACACUGCGAAUGGAUGAACAGCGACGGGCCUGGAAUUUAUAGACUGUCCUUUGGGGUGAGGUAGUAGGUUGUAUAGUUUUAGGGUUAGACCCUGACUGUCAGAUAACUAUACAAUCUACUGUCUUUCCUGAAGUGGCUGUGAUAGCAACACAGGAGGCAUCGUCCCAGCUUUCUAGAAACCGUGCUUUAUUAUUUUGUGUGCAUGAUGCGUUUUGAGUAAAAGCUUAGAAGACAUAGUGGCAUGUUAGAAAUUCAAGCAACGUUACAGUCCAAUAGUCCGUUUAUUACAAUAAAUAAAUAAAUAACUUUAUUGUCAUUGUACGUAUAUACACAGUAUACCCGUACAACGAAAUUCACUUAACACCCAAAGACUAGGUCCAACACACAUAACAAUCCCCAAACACCUCCCGCCCACCCACCACAAAUUUCCCCCUCCCCGAUGUUAAGAUGGUGGCUGCACCCACCUCAUGAAACCCCCAUCUCUUUCCACCUGCUACAGCGCACGUACAUACCCACAUACCCCACAGAUACCCCAAUCCCCAAUAAUGUCUUUUUGUACAUGCCGUACACAGAAUGAACUGUCUUGGGUCCAGAUUUAUAAAUUUAUCGUAACAAUGGACUGAAUUUGGGGGGGGGGGUCCUAAAAGAAAAGAAAUAACACUUGCAGAAUUCAAAAAAAGGACAAAAAAUAUUUCCCUUUGCGUACUGAUUUCCUAAAAGCUUUAAACCGUUUCCAAAUGGAUGCAAGUAUCAGUCUAAAAGUAAUGGAAUGGCUAUCCCGAAAUUGUUGUUGACUAGAAUUAUUCCUAGUUAAUGCUCCUGAGUGGACAGAUCGCAGAUCAGGAAACAUUCCCAUUACAGUUAACUUUUGAAUUCAUGGAGGAGGAGAAAGAAAAGGCUGUGAGGUAAUUCCUCACAGUGAGGUGGUGAUCCAGAGCUUUAAGAUGAGGAAGGUGCUAAUAUUGUUGCUUUCUUUAUAAUUUGUUUAAACCAGUGUUUCUCAACCUUGGCAACUUGAAGAUGAGUGGACUUCAACUCCCAGAAUUCCCCAGCCAGCUAUAUAUUAAUUUUUGCUACAAAAGACGCAUUAUGGCUUAUUUUCUGGUUAGGUCUUAUUUUGGGGAAAAUACAGUACUAAACGCCUCCGUCUGUUGACGAUCUUAACUGGUUUAGUUUUAGUUUUGGGGUAGGGCUUAUAUUAUGAACAUCCUGAAAAACCAUGCUAGGGCUUAUUUUCCGGUUGGGUCUGAUUUUCAGGGAAAUGGGAUAUAUAUUGUAACUUGAAAUCAGAAAGGAAGCAUGACGGGACAUGACCAAAUCAUGUGAGUCACGAGUAUCCCCAAGUUUCUCAUGACACGAUCUCCCCACCAAGGAGGAACCAGAUCCAGCAUUAAGAAUCAAGGUCAGCUGAAGCUUCACCCAGCUUUCCAGCAGGGUGAGGUAGUAGGUUGUGUGGUUUCAGGGUAGUAAUUUUGCCCCAAUCAGGAGUUAACUAUACAACCUACUGCCUUCCUUGAGGAACAGCUUUGCAGCCUCUCCGAACACUUCAGAGUACAAGCCUACAUAGGUUUUAUGCUACAUUCACAUUCCCACUUUAUUCAAAAUAAACCAAACAAGGAAUGAAGCUGAGAAUUUCCUAGCAGAAAAGGCCAUUCUCCCCAGAGAAUUGCAACUUUUCAUCCAGUUCAGAUACCCUCUCCAAGUUUUCACUAUUUCAGGACCAAUGUGUAUGUGAGUAUUAAAUUAUUCUCUUUGUCAAAGCCUUUGUAUCAAUAAAUCCUACUGAAUUUGCCAGUCAAGGCAUGUUUCUAGAAAGCCUCUUCGUGAUCUCAAAGCUGAAAUAAAAAGAUUUUGUGUUUUCAA